GGGCUCGUGGUCUAGUUGGCUAUGACGUCUCCUUUACAUGGAGAAGGUCGGUGGUUCAAAUCCGCCCGAGCCCA
rfam:Halophilic archaeon DL31, complete genome.